CUAAGGUUUGUUUAUCUGAUUUAUCCCACAUAAUAGAAGCAUUUUCAGGAGUGAAGAUUAAUUGUAUUAUGGUGCUCUUGACAUCCUAUUUUUCUGAUCCAUUUGCCAGAGAGAUGCUUUCAGCUUUUUCAUUAUAAAGCUUUUACUAUCGUAACUUUCACCUGCUGAGUUUUAGGCAACUAGCAAUAAUCUGAAAAUGCUUUUCUCAUUGAAAUUAUCUCUUCAUAUUUUUUCAUUGUAUUUGAGCACAUUUAUUUUACGGGAAUGUACAUAUGCAAAAUAUGGAUGACUAACAGGAAAGUUACUUCAUGCUCAUUUUCAAAAGUAUGAUCAGGUUGCUUCAUUUGCUAAAGCUGGAUUUAUGUGUAGGUUCCUGAUGACUUAACACAGAUGUUUUAUGUGAUGUGAAGGUGGUUGCUUUGCAGGAUGAAAGGUAAUUGUCAUUUUGCAUACUUUGUUUUAGGGAAUUGUAGCAAACCAAUGGCUGGCUGCUUGAAAGCAUCACUUGCCCACCAGCUCUGCUGAAGUCAAUGAGAAGGAGGCCUCAUGGUAUUGAAUUCAGGAGGUGGCUAUUCCUCAUGCCUGUCUCAGUAAGUAGGAAAGCUGCUGAGCUGUGAACGGUCAGAGCUGCUUGAAUCUAUCAUGCUCCAUGUGCCUUAAAUUGGAGGAAAUGAGAAGAAAUGAGUGAUGGAAGGGCUACAAAUAAAUAUCUGGAAUGGAAAAGGUGGUGAGUAGAAAGAGGCACAGCCACUCCUCACCCCCUGGUACUGGCCCCACCAGGAGAGAAGAACCUGGAUACAGACAGUAAAUGUUUCUCUCUAAAGCCCCCCCUGAUGGACCCAAUCCAAUCAGGGUAAGGGUCCUUGCACCUUCUCCUAAUGACAUAGCACACCCACGAUGAGAAACCAAACCCCAAUCCUCUGUUCUCAAGGAGCUGUCCUCAUCCCUGCACUCUCCAUUAUACCUGCCUGCUCUCUUUGCACACUUGCAGAAGGGAGAAGUUACAACAAAGGGACUUGAGGGUAUCCAUAGUUCAUGCUCUGCUCUUCUGAGGUGUGGCAGAGAGACAAACCCCAACUUCUGGCAUUCCCUGCAGGAAAUGUCAGCCUUGAGCUCAUGGGUAUGGAGAGGCCACCAGGACCCUUUCUUUUUCUCUAAAGCACCCAGGUGUCAUCACCUCAGUUUCUGCAGUGCCCAAUCACAUCCAUGUGCUCCAGAAAUGCCUGCUGCAAGGCCAGAGGACAUCAUUGUGGGGAGCCCAAGAAAGGUACUCAGUGACUAACACCAGUUUGCUGAGUCAAAGGUUCACAGCUUACAAACCUGGGAAGCUCAGACAGGAGAGAAACAGACAAUUCCUGACAUAUGCAAGGCCUGCACUGGGGUUUUCUGGCCUGUAACCUAAGACUCAAAUUGCUCUUAUGUAAGCCACAUUGGGCACAUCUUUUAUUGCAAGCCUGUGCUGUUCUGGGAAGAGCAAGCCUUUUGAAGAGUGGGAUAACCAGGAAAUCACUGCUGCACUCACAAGGAAGCGAAGCAGAAGAAUCAGCAAUCACUUGGGAUCUUCAUCACUAAAGAUGACCAACUUCUAUCCGACACUCCCAAACUGCUGGGAUGAUUUUGCACCCUUCCAGCUCCUACUCCUCUCCCUGUGUUCAAGGUCCUUUCUAUGUCACCUGGCUCAAUGUGAUGCUGCCACACUAAGUGGAGCUGCCACACAAAUGGCAUGUGUGCACUAACACAUGCACUAAUAUCAGACAUCCACAGCAGGCACCUUUGGAUGCCUAAAUUAAAGCUUUGCAUAGGGAAGUACAAGAAGAGAACUCUGAUGAGUUUGAUGCAAUUACAGACAUUUCCAAAAGUUGAACAGGGUUAACUUUUUAAAUAUUUGCCCAAACUGUGGCAAAAGUAAGCCUCACUUAAGAACCAUCUUUUCUUUGAUGAGGAUCAUCAGUGAUUAACCUACUCUAUGAAAAGAGAAAUCUAGGGCGUAAUUAGGAAUAUGAUCACUGUCAGUGUAGUAUAAAGUGAGCAAUGCAGUGAUAUAUCCUCCCUCCUCAGGAAUCAGGGAUCAUCUGGAAUCUGCUUCAAAAGCAAAUACAAAAGACAAAACUUAAAGGAAGAAUCAACAUUAAAUGUAAGAUGCUUGGUUCAGCUCAAGAAACGCUCUGACAACAGCUUCAAGCAUUCUAAUGGAAAAAUGCAUCCCUACUUAAUAUUAUUGAUUUUGUGUCUGGAGAAAAACCCACAGAACAUUGUGUCCAAGCUGUGGGAGACGCUAACUGAGGGCAGACAGGUGAACACGGUCAAAGCCGGUACUUUGUUCAAACAACAAAACUCAAACAGAACAAAAAGCUGGACAAAAAAACCUUUGUGGUAAAAUCAGUUUCACUGUCUGAAAUAUAUUAAUUUUAUUAUGUCUUGGUGAUAAUGAAGUAACCCUUAAAGUCUUUUUGCAAAAUUGUGACUUUUUACUUUAUGGGAAUUUCUUUAACGACUUCAACAAUGUCAGGAUUUUCCAUGAAAUUGCAAUCAGAAUUCAAAAUGCUUCUGUGGCCAUUAACCAUGUCUUGUUUGGUUUGAAUAUGGCAAACUGAUACUCUUCAUUACAAUUUUACAGCACUUUUACAAAGGGUAGGAGUUAUUCACAGCUGCCAUCUAAUCAAGGCAGAAACCUGACAAGGGAGAGCAACAAACUCCUGGAAGAUCACUGAGUAAUUCUAAAAUGAGACUUGCAUAAAAAAAAAAUAAAAA